rnacentral:rRNA from 1 species
UGCCCCCUCCCCCGGGAUAGCCGCCCGAAAGGACGGGUAAUACCGGAUACCCCGGGGUGCCGCAUGGCACCCCGGCUAAAGCCCCGACGGGAGGGGAUGGCUCCGCGGCCCAUCAGGUAGACGGCGGGGUGACGGCCCACCGUGCCGACAACGGGUAGCCGGGUUGAGAGACCGACCGGCCAGAUUGGGACUGAGACACGGCCCAGACUCCUACGGGAGGCAGCAGUGGGGAAUCUUGCGCAAUGGGGGGAACCCUGACGCAGCGACGCCGCGGGCGGGACGGAGGCCUUCGGGUCGUAAACCGCUUUCAGCAGGGAAGAGUCAAGACUGUACCUGCAGAAGAAGCCCCGGCUAACUACGUGCCAGCAGCCGCGGUAAUACGUAGGGGGCGAGCGUUAUCCGGAUUCAUUGGGCGUAAAGCGCGCGUAGGCGGCCCGGCAGGCCGGGGGUCGAAGCGGGGGGCUCAACCCCCCGAAGCCCCCGGAACCUCCGCGGCUUGGGUCCGGUAGGGGAGGGUGGAACACCCGGUGUAGCGGUGGAAUGCGCAGAUAUCGGGUGGAACACCGGUGGCGAAGGCGGCCCUCUGGGCCGAGACCGACGCUGAGGCGCGAAAGCUGGGGGAGCGAACAGGAUUAGAUACCCUGGUAGUCCCAGCCGUAAACGAUGGACGCUAGGUGUGGGGGGACGAUCCCCCCGUGCCGCAG